AGUGAACGCUGGCGGUAGGCCUAACACAUGCAAGUCGAACGGCAGCACAGUAAGAGCUUGCUCUUACGGGUGGCGAGUGGCGGACGGGUGAGGAAUACAUCGGAAUCUACUUUUUCGUGGGGGAUAACGUAGGGAAACUUACACUAAUACCGCAUACGACCUACGGGUGAAAGCAGGGGAUCUUCGGACCUUGCGCGAAUGAAUGAGCCGAUUUCGGAUUAGCUAGUUGGCGGGGUAAAGGCCCACCAAGGCGACGAUCCGUAGCUGGUCUGAGAGGAUGAUCGGCCACACUGGAACUGAGACACGGUCCAGACUCCUACGGGAGGCAGCAGUGGGGAAUAUUGGACAAUGGGCGCAAGCCUGAUCCAGCCAUACCGCGUGGGUGAAGAAGGCCUUCGGGUUGUAAAGCCCUUUUGUUGGGAAAGAAAAGCAGCAGGUUAAUACCCCGCUGUUCUGACGGUACCCAAAGAAUAAGCACCGGCUAACUUCGUG
rnacentral:rRNA from 1 species